rnacentral:lncRNA from 1 species
AGAUACACAAAUGCUUACCACUGACUACAUUAUUCAGAACAGCAACAUGCCAUACAGGGGUAAAGCCUAGGAGCAACAGGCUAUACCAUACAGCCUAGGGUGGGUGUAGAGAAAAUUCUAGAUGAAAGUCGAACAAAAGGAAGAAACUUCAUUGAGAAGCCCCAAGUAAGACUGGCAGGGGAGCAGGCAGAAAACAGGACAAAAUUCACACAACCACUGAGGGGCUGAGAAGUCAGGAGAAAUACCAUAAAUGCAAGCUAAAAGCAAAACUGUAG